UGAGACGUGAGAACUGUCAUGUAAGGCAAAA
rnacentral:piRNA from 1 species